AGUGAACGCUGGCGGUAGGCCUAACACAUGCAAGUCGAACGGCAGCACAGUAAGAGCUUGCUCUUACGGGUGGCGAGUGGCGGACGGGUGAGGAAUACAUCGGAAUCUACUUUUUCGUGGGGGAUAACGUAGGGAAACUUACGCUAAUACCGCAUACGACCUACGGGUGAAAGAAGGGGAUCUUCGGACCUUGCGCGAUUGAAUGAGCCGAUGUCGGAUUAGCUAGUUGGCGGGGUAAAGGCCCACCAAGGCGACGAUCCGUAGCUGGUCUGAGAGGAUGAUCAGCCACACUGGAACUGAGACACGGUCCAGACUCCUACGGGAGGCAGCAGUGGGGAAUAUUGGACAAUGGGCGCAAGCCUGAUCCAGCCAUACCGCGUGGGUGAAGAAGGCCUUCGGGUUGUAAAGCCCUUUUGUUGGGAAAGAAAAGCAGCAGGUUAAUACCCCGCUGUUCUGACGGUACCCAAAGAAUAAGCACCGGCUAGCUUCGUG
rnacentral:rRNA from 1 species